GGAGAGGAUGGGCAAUGAACCCACAGAAAAUCCAAGGCCCAGGCACCACCAUCAGGUUUUGGGAAGCAUUUGGUCAGGUGAUAAAGACUGGCAAAUGCCCUCUUUCCUAGGUACAUACAUAAAGGUAUGUACAUGGAUCAUACAUACCUUUCAUUUAUAAUGUUGAGAAGAGCGUUUCACCUCUGUUGUCUUCCUCCCAAAAAAUCAUAAUCCACUUCGCCUGAGAAAAACAUCAGACAACCCCAGACUGAGAGACAUUCUACAAAACAUCUGAUCAUCACCCUGUAAAACUGUCAAGGUCAUAAGAAAGCAAGGAAAGUCUGAAGAAUUGCCGCAGCCCAGAGGAGCCUAAGAAGACAUGAAGACAAAAUAUAAUCUGGUAUUCUAGAUGAGACUUGGGAACAGAAAAAGAA
rnacentral:lncRNA from 1 species